UACGUAGGGUGCAAGCGUUGUCCGGAAUUACUGGGCGUAAAGAGCUCGUAGGUGGUUUGUCGCGUUGUCCGUGAAAACUCACAACUCAAUUGUGGGCGUGCGGGCGAUACGGGCAGACUGGAGUACUGCAGGGGAGACUGGAAUUCCUGGUGUAGCGGUGGAAUGCGCAGAUAUCAGGAGGAACACCAAUGGCGAAAGCAGGUACCUGGACUAUUACUGACACUCAGCUGCGAAAGCUAGGGGAGCAAACAGG
rnacentral:rRNA from 1 species